AUAAGACAAGACGACGGUGACUGGGAGCACCGAGGGCCCUGCUUUCCAGAACUGCCUGGCUUCCACCCCAGCCAGUCGCCAGCCCCUGCCCCUCCGUCUCCACAGGCUGUCAGCCUUCGAGGGCCUCAGGACCACCCCGCCACUACCUCCCCCGAGGUAGGCAAGCACUUCAUCCUCUGGGCGAAUGGACCAGCCCCGGGAUCAGUGCAGAUACAUUAAGGUUCUGCAGAGAGGCCACGGGCCUCAGUCGGGAAAGUGGAGGAGGGGGGGCUCCAACUGGGUUUUGGGUCCCAGUGCGAAGGAAGGCCGAGCUGGGGUCAAAGGUCAUUGUGCUGAGCACUGGGGACCAAGAGCCAUCAGCUCCUGUGCUGCCUGUGCACAGGAUUUAACGUCUUGAUAAAACACGAAGAGAAGAAACUUAUACAUCGCAGCAGGCUCUGCGAUUGCCAGGAGGAGAAGGCAAACCAGUCGGCCCGCGGCUGUGGUCUUCCACAGCCCAGAGGCUCUUCCUGCCCAAGGGCCCCAAAGCACGUUCUCUCCCUCUCCCGGAGGGUCAAAGCCCAGGCCCUUCACAUCCUGCCUCCCUUUCUCUCGGUGCUGAGGGUGACAGCAGGGACGGCUCAGCUAAGUCCGGCCACGGGGAAUUAAGACAAGUCUGGGCACUCAGGGCUCCUCCGGCUCCUGGGAAAAGUGUCACCUACAAAUCCACCGUGGACUGAAUCAAGGACACAGCACAGGCACAACAGACAGGGUGGCAGCAGAGAGAACGAGUGCAAGCAGCGGAAAUGCCAGAUGCUUAUAAAACCAUCAAAUCUCAUGAGACUCACUGUCCCAAGA